UGGGGGCGGUUUGGGGGUCAAAUGUCUUAUCUGUGGACAACAGGGCCUGCAGGAUCAAACCUCCAAACUUUGGAUUAUGAGACGGCGAUUCUACUAUUUGAUGGAUAUUAUGUUCGUGCUUCUGAAUUUUAACAGUAAUUUAUUCAUGAUCUUGUGACAGUAAACUAUUAUUUGAAAAUUUAUGAUUGACAGUCGGGCCCGACCGAUUUAUCAGCAAGCCGAAAAUGCUGAAAACGCUUUUCUGGUCCGAGUUUGAUCAGUCGGUCUUCCUGUCCGCAUAAAGAGCAGUAGCCUACAGUAUAUCUAUGGUAUAUAGUAAACUGCAGAUAUCUACAGUAUAUAUAUAUAUUUUUUAUAAAUUAAUAAAAAAUUAAAAAAUCGUCCAAUUAAUCAGUAAUCGGACCCCCCCACAAUAAAAUAAAAUAUCGGCACUGGCCCCAAAAAAUCUAUAUAAGUUGGUCGCUCGGGGCCUACUCGACAGUAAUCUAAUGCACACAAAUUUGUUUCAGCUCUAGCGGUUCCACAAACAUUUUUCACAACAAAGGACUUUCCAUGUCCCAAAAAAGAUCAGAUUUCCUCCAUCAUGGUUACGCACACAGACAACAAACUUUACAUGCAACAGCAGCUUUUUAAAAAAUGGACACAAACAGAUUGUGUAUUGUGUGGAGAGUAAAUCCUUAACUGUUUAUCACCACGUUUUCAUGUUUGUUUAAGCUUUUGCAGCUGAUGUCAUCAAAUCUGCAGCAGGUGUUUUCAUUGUUUCCACCAAAUACUCUGAUUUUAGGACAUCAAACUCAGCAAUCCUGCAUGAACAUGAUCUUAUUAUAACAGCAGGGGGGUUCGUAAUGUUCCAGAGUCAUUACUGGCCAGGCUGCAGCCUUCACAGAUGUCCACCCAUGAGUUUCUUUUACAGCUAACCGAGCCAAACGUCCAUCUGUAGUCUCUUCCGGCUGUGCCUUUUCUUUAUUAUUAAUUUUAGAUAAAACCAAAGUUGCAUGGUCUGCAGGUUCUUUUUCAUUUAGAGGCAGAAAAUUCAAACAAAACUAGAUUCACUCUUGGAAAAACCAUCUGCAGGCAUGAAUGGCAUGUAAAUGGGAUUUAAAGGGAGACAGACUAAUCCACAAACAGGACCGCAGACAGCAGCAGGACAACAGUUCACAGAGAUUUGUUGGAGUAGUUCCCGGAAUAAAUGUAGAAAUACUUCACUUUUAAUAAUAUUCAUGUAAUGGGAAUAAAGCAGCAAACCUCUUACACUUGAAUCUUCCGUCUCUAUUCGACACACAGAGACUCAAAAGAAGCUGCAGACUGAUUUGAAGGCUGUCACUGUAUCUGUAAACCCAGGGGGGGCGGCCCUGACCACUGGAGGGGGUGCCUUGUUACACUUGGCCCUUUGAGUCAGGGGGACCGGGGACAAUGCCGCUGUUAACACUCCUGACGGGGACCUUUGGGUUCUCUGAAAGUUUAAUGUGACUCUGCAUGCGACCUGCGCUCACUGAGGUCAGAGAUGAGCACGUCCCGGCGGCGCUCCAAGGUUGCCCUGUGUCAGUGCUCUGGAAACCAAAUGCCAGCGCGGGGGGGCGAUCGGGUCCGGAGCUUGUUUUGUCCCCUGUGGCAUGGAUAAUGAGGCAUCUGUCUCCACCUGCCGCAUGGAGAGAUGAGGCUCACUGUCUCACUUUAAAAGAGCACAGGUUACCUAUCUGAUUUGUCCGAGGCAAGCCGAGGACAUGAUCUGGAGCAGAGUCCUCCGCCUAAAUAGUUUAUACCACGGCUCUCCUUUGUUUUUGAGCUGCUGCACCACACGACGCUAGGCUUAGCAAACAUGCUGCUCCGAGUCGUGCAGGAUUCAUCUUGAAAUUAGGUAGAACAGAUAUUGACAGAAUUAUCUUUUUGGAAACAUUCAGGGGAAAACAACGUUUCUAAAGGUUGCAAAGAGGGCUGAAAAAUGAGCCAAAAUCUGCAGUUACUUGAGUGGCCACUAGGGGCUGCCUCCAAAGGUGAAGCGAUCCGCAUUUGGCUUUUGCUGCGUUCCAGUAACCCUGGAAGUCGGAUGUCGGAGCUGCAAAUGACGUUACACCCAUCUUGGAUUAUGACGUUGUCGUUAAGUUGGGGUUGGUGAAGACCGUCUGACUUUCCGAGUCAGAAAUAUGACUUCAGGGGGGCGUUCCGGAUUAAUUUCCGAUUCAGAGCUUAGCUUCCACCUGAAACACGGACUGCUUUAUUUUGAAAAGAAGCCGGAUGUUUUAUUUUGUGUCUGUACCCGACUUCCUUUCCAGCACGGGUUAAUCUGUGCUGAAUUUAUCCGGCCUGAUCUGGCGUUCAGAAGAAAUAGAACUCUUGCGAUCAGCUGUGGAGUCCGGCGAUCCGCAGCGGAACGGAAAGAAGUCGGUGGAAAUUGACACGUUAACUUGAAUGGUUACGAUCAGCUACGAUCGGCGGGUAUGGCCUUUUCGUAGCUGUUCCGAAUGCGGUGGAAAUUGGGGGUUAGACGAGCGCAAUCAGGUCUGCCUGACCUCGGACAGUGGAUCUGCUGAUGUUUGAUGUAAUUUCUCCAUAACCUACCAAUCAAAAUUGUGGUUGAGUAUCUUAUUUGACAACUCCGACUGGUGUUCUUAAGACAAAUUGGAAUUAUACCAUUUUUUAUCAAGACUUUUAUCAUUAUCGCCAGAAUGGUAAAUCUCAUCAUGGUGAAAUUUUAGCCCAUAUCGCCCAUCCCUACUCUUGGCUACAUCCGUUAUCUACACAGUGGUCUAGUUUCUGACAUCGUUCUGAUUCCUGCUCAGAAAAAACACAAACCCGACGCGCUCUUGACAGCAGCUCAACAUUCCCCCCCGUCGUCCCCUCCAGCAGGCGGACCUCGCUGAGCUUGUGGAGUUGGCCACAGGAGCGAAAGGUGAUCUCGGGGGGGUUUUGUCUUGGUGUAAUCAGACAGCGACAUCAUCAAUCAUGAGAGGGUGAAUUACAGCGGGUUACAAUGGGAGAUAAGAUAAUGAGUGGGGCCACAGCGACCUGGUGAGGGACAGCUCGAGUUCCCGUCCUGAUUACUCGGCAGUGGUCUGCAGGCUGCACGAGUCCAAGAACGGAAAACGCUUUUCCCCCCAGAUACCCCAUGAAGAAGGCAGCUGAGGAAGGCGACCAGGUGAAUCUGCAAUUCUGUGUAUGGGGUUUUGGUGCUGCAAAGAUCAGUAUUUGAGUGUCAGUAUUUAAAAUAUUCCCUUCUCUAACUCUUAAAAACUUCCAGCUGUGUUCGCGGUGACAUCAUUUCAAGCCCACCCUUCCUCUGUGUCUAUGCUGGGGGACGAAGCGUGGUCGGGCGUGUGCCGGCAGCCCUGAGCCCCAUGACGCUCCGUCCGAGCGGCACGCUCUGGUCCACACUCUCACUCCCUGACAUGUGCCGCUGCUCGCUAAUCCUCCACUGACGCGUCUCUGCAGCAUCGCACUCGACAAAGGAACAAUAAAUGACCACCGUGCUGACCUCAGAGGGCAACCGGUGCUCGCUGCAUCAGACUGGAUCUCCUGUUUGUGAAAGGCCGUACUGGUUUUCUAUACAAUUAAGUCAAUUAGAGCUGCUGAAUGUUAGCCGAUAAUCUCAUUAGCAUGUCAGAGUAUAUAGGGGACCUUCUCUAUUAUAUAAAUACCACUAUAUGCAAAUUAAUUGUUUUAUUCGGGAUUAAAUAGAUUUUUACAGACGGGAGAUAAUAGGGUGUAAAAACGAGGAUGUGAAUACCAUUUUAAUUACCGCUGAGCCGAUUUGAUAACAAUAAAUAAAAGGCGGGAAAGAGUGAACCCGGCGCGGCAUCUGUCUAAAUUAGCGUCUCUAAGCUCUGCGUGUUGUUUGCGUGACUCAUUUAAAGCAGCAUCUGUGUUCUCAAAGACAAAUCUGACUAUUAUCGGCCAUUUUGGUCCGAUUAUCGGCUUUAAAUGAGAUGGUCUAAGAACACUAAAUACAAGUUUCGAUGAAUCUGGACCAUCGGUUUGGGGUCUGGAUCAUUUCUGGGCUGUUAAUGCUCAUAUUUAGAGGAAUGAAUGGUGGUUAAUGUUGGUAACCGGGCAGAGAGAGUGGGGGUGACAUGUGGCAAAGGGCCCUGGGGGUGAAACUGAACCCAAGCUGCCCACUUUAAGGACCUAAGCCUUUGCAUACGGGGUGCCAUAUCACCUGCUGAGCCAAACCGGGACUCCAACUCUGUUGAACUUUUAACCCCUAAUAUCCUGUCUGUCUGUCAGCAUAUAAAACACUCUACUUGUUGCCAAUCUUAUGCUGUUGCUAGGUUCAGGGCCUGUGUCCACUAACAGCAUUUUUUGGGACUUAAAUGACUUUUCUCAACAAAACUCUCCUCCAAUUUUUGGUAAAAUAUUGAGGCGUCAUAUCAUGAAAUUAAAAAAAACAAACAAUCAAAAAUAAAACUCAGCUUUCAUAGGAAUAAACCUCAUCCUAACAGAAAACUAUUCAAAUGUUUUCAGGUUUUCCUUUAGGCCUCAUAUUUUAUAGUGAAUGUGAAUGAAUAAAACUCUAAAACCUGUACAGUUAGUGUCUUUUUGCUUCCCUCACAGCUCAAAUGAUUCAGCUUCUUGAACUACGAUUUCCAGGUCCUGCAUUUUAUAUUUAUAUUUUUUUGCAAAUUUUAGGCAAAUGAAGAAAGACUCAAAAGUCACCAAUAAGAGGAGCAGAAAUGCCAGUGUACACUUAUGCACUCAUUAUAAUACAUAUCUAACUGAUUAAAUCUGUAAAUAAGUUUCUUAAUUCUUAGAUAAGUCAAAACUUUCCUGAAUUUUACUGCAGUUUUUCUAAGUUGGUAAAGUUUGAAAUGAGACGAUUUAGGUCAGAAGAUCUCAGGUUAGUACUGGUAAAAAGAGGGAGAUUAUACUUCCCUGCUUGUCUCAGUUCUCCGUUUUGUGUUUUCUACUGCAGGAAAAUUCAGCGAAUGUGUAAACAGUCAUCACUUCAGACUCUACCUCCUCUACCGAGUUGUGAGAGUGUGUGCGACACAGGAAAGCUCACACUGUGAAGUGCAAGUUCAUGAAAAAACAGGGCCUGAAAGUCCUGAAAAUUUUAGGAAAUUAUCCAAACGUGUGUGAAAGGGGUUGUACAUGUACAGAGAGUGUCCUGGAGUUCAGCAUGAGGCUCGUCUGACUUAAAAUCCAUCCUAUUUACUGUGUCAAAUGUGCUUACAUACCUGAUAUUUACUCAGCCACUUGAUUUCCUCGCUCUGAUUAUUAUUGGGAUGGCAGAUGGCGAGUUGGUGGUAAUCCCAGCUGCCCACUGGACUGACCCUUUGCACUCCACCCGCCUCCUCCCAAACCAACACGCAACACCCUCCCCGCCCUCCCCCCGAAAUCUUAAUGAACUCGCUGAGCCGCACGGCCAAAGAGCUGCUUUACAGGGUGAGUAAUGGCUGUGUCAGCAGUCAGAAGAUGAGCCAGAGGGUGAGCAGGGGGGCAGACGGGUGAGAGGGUAAGGAGAUGAGAGGGGAAUUACAGCUCUGUUAAGAGCAAACCAUUGUUGAAGAAAGAUUCUAUCAUGAGCAAUCAAACUAAUGUAAGAAUAACGGAUCACAAAAGUAUUCGAUUGAUCGGUUUGUUUUUUUCCCAGUUAGGAUACGACUUCAUGAUUCAAAGUCACUUUUUUCAUGUGCAAGGACAAAAAAAAAACAUACAGGUGCACUGAGUUAAAACAAAUUAAUAUUAAUACAUCUGUUUUUAUGCUAAUAUUUAAAUGAAUAUGUAAAUAAAGGCCAAAGUGCCACAAAAUUGUUAUGCAGAUGGAAGAUUUUAAAGCUUUGAGGUAAACUUAAUGAACUUCAAAUUACAAUAAAUUAAAACUGUGAGAAAAACAAUUGAGAAAAUUAUCAUCGCCAGUUAAUAAAACAGCAUUUUCUGAGUCUUAAUCAUCAUGAAUAAGGACAUUUGUAAAACACAUUUUACAAGAAUCUCCAUAAAAUUUCCAAAACACAUUAUUUCAACUGAGGGAAAUCUAAAAAAUGUCAUUUUUCAGUAACUUCACAGACAGAAUCAAAAAAUCUAAUUUUACCACUUUUACCACUGACUGCACUGCACAAAUGUACCCCUCAUUGGACAGUAAAGGAGAAUUAAUGCCUAAAAUUUUAUACUGAGUCGAUAUUCUUAAUGCCACCUUCAAACAAAUAAAACCUGCUUUUUUUUUUAAAUAUGUUGAUAACUAUUUGUAAAACUAAACCUGAUCUAAAGUUUGAGAUCCCCUCAAGUAUAUCCCACGUUAAACCAAAUUAUGAUGAAAAAGAAUUUUAAAAAAUUACAUGUAUAUGUAACAACGGGGGUCUCAGUUAGCUCACUGGCUGUAAUCUUCUUGCUUCCUCAGAGUUUCCAAAGGGGGCUGUAAUCUCAACUAAAGUCAUCUGAGCUAAUCCCAGACUGCAGCGGCAGCAGUGGUUGAGAGAUUGAUAUUCAUCUGCCGGUCAUAAUUUAUAUAUGAUGCAAAAAUUCUAAUUAAAGGAGUAGACGUAGACUUAAAAAGGAAACUGAAACUGAGUCGUUACUCAGACACAAACAGAAGCAUGCUUUGACUCGUAUUUGCAAAUAAUAAAGAGACUUUUUUGAGUUACGGCAAAGUGGAGAAAAACUGACACAAACUGGGAUGAUUCAUAUUUUUAAAACCGUCAGAGUAAAUCUGAUUUUAUACUCUGCUGAAUUCUCUGGUUGCAGAAACACCUGUUGAAUAAACGAAUACCUGGAAUUUAUAAUCCCAGUCUUUUGUCAACAGUUGACAUUCAAAAGGAUUAUUUCAAUCUGCUUAUGUUGAUUCAUCAUUGAACUGUCGACCAGGUUACUUAAGUCCACGUGGUCGAAGACACCAUCAUGAGUUUUUGUUCCUCCAGUUUCUGCCGCUGGAGUCACAUAUUUACAGAUUUGUUUCUUGUAAAUCGGAGUCAAGAGAUUCUGAUUUCACAGCCUAAUGCUUUGUUGUUUAUCUGUCAGAUUCAUAUGACGCCUGUUAAAUCAGACAUAAAGCCUCCUCUAUGGCGGCUUAUUAUUCAGAGCAAACAGUGUUAAUUUAAACAAACAAAAGACAGCGUAAAACAAU
rnacentral:lncRNA from 1 species